UCCUCAAGUCUAGAGGCACUCAUGUCUAGCUAAGUAAACAAACACUAAGAAAGAAAAACACACACACACACACACACGCACACACACACACACGCACGCACACACACACACGCACACGCACACACACACGCACACACACACGCACACACACACGCACGCACACACACACAGCAAGCAGAUUAACAGACCACUCCUGCUCCUGAGAAGAUUUUCUCUUUUUCCUUUGUUAGUCUAAUAGGCAAGGUGUGUACUAAGAGAUUUUAAAAGUACAUGAGAAGAGCAGUCACAAGCUGUGAUGAUUGUGAGUUCACAGAAGCCCAGGGGAUUUUGAUAUUUCUUCAAGGAGUUAGCCAGGAGAAACCCUAACCGGUUGAGUUUAGAUGGAGGAGAACAGUAAAACCCCCCAGCGGGCUUUGCUCAACCAGGGAGAGGAGGAUGAACUGGAGGUGUUUGGUUACCGUGACCAGAAUGUACGGAAAUCCCUCUGCUUUGUUGCAUCCGUGCUGACCUGUGGGGCUCUUCUGCUGGUGUUCUACUGGAGACCCCAGUGGAGAGUGUGGGCCAACUGCGUCCCAUGUCCCUUGCAAGAAGCAGACACUGUUUUGCUGAGGACAACAGAUGAAUUUCAAAGAUAUAUGAGAAAGAAGGUAUUCUGCCUCUACCUAUCCACACUGAAGUUUCCUGUAAGCAAAAAGUGGAAGGAAUCCCUGGUGGCUGACCACCACUCUUUCAUAAACCAAGCCUUACAAAAGCCAGAAUUAAAACUGCGAUGCAUUCAAGUGCAGAAAAUCAGGUAUGUUUGGAACAACCUGGAGAAGCGGUUUCAGAAAGUUGGGUUGCUAGAGGAUAGCAACUCCUGCUUUGACAUCCAUCAGACGUUUGGAUUGGGUCUGACCAGUGAAGAGCAAGAGGUCAGAAGAUUAGUGUGUGGGCCCAACACCAUUGAGGUUGAAAUCCAACCCAUAUGGAGGCUGCUUGUUAAACAGGUUUUAAAUCCAUUCUAUGUGUUCCAAGCCUUCACUCUAACUUUGUGGCUGUCUCAAGGUUACAUAGAAUACUCUGUGGCCAUCAUCAUUUUGUCUGUUAUCUCCAUUGUCUUAAGUGUGUAUGAUUUGAGACAGCAAUCAGUUAAGCUGCAUAACCUCGUGGAAGACCACAACAAAGUCCAGGUUACAAUCAUCGUGAAAGACAAAGGUUUGGAGGAGCUGGAAUCCCGUCUCUUGGUUCCUGGAGACGUUCUUAUUCUUCCAGGAAAAUUUUCAUUGCCAUGUGAUGCUGUUUUGAUUGAUGGACACUGCGUGGUGAAUGAAGGCAUGCUCACAGGAGAAAGUAUACCUGUUACAAAGACACCACUGCCCCAAAUGGAGAAUACUGCGCCUUGGAAAUGUCAUAGCUUGGAGGAUUACCGGAAACAUGUCCUCUUCUGUGGAACAGAAGUUAUCCAGGUCAAGCCCUCUGGGCAGGGACCUGUAAGAGCAGUCGUUUUGCAAACAGGUUACAAUACAGCCAAAGGGGACUUAGUGAGAUCCAUCCUCUACCCUCGGCCUUUGAACUUCAAACUAUACAGCGAUGCCUUCAAGUUCAUGGUGUUCCUGGCCUGCCUUGGUGUCGUGGGUUUUUUCUAUGCCCUAGGGGUAUAUACAUACCACGGAAUCCCUCCAAAAGACACUGUGACCAUAGCCCUGAUUCUCCUCACUGUGACUGUCCCUCCAGUGCUGCCGGCUGCCCUGACCAUAGGCAUCGUGUAUGCUCAGAAGAGACUGAAGAAAAAGAAAAUCUUCUGUAUCUCCCCACAGAGAAUCAACAUGUGUGGGCAAAUAAACCUCGUGUGCUUUGACAAAACUGGUACUCUCACUGAAGAUGGGCUAGACCUCUGGGGGACUGUCCCUACUGCUGACAACUGCUUCCAGGAAACCCACAGCUUUGCCUUGGGCCAGGCUUUGCCAUGGGGCUCACUGUGUGCAGCCAUGGCCAGCUGCCACUCUCUGGUUCUCGUCGAUGGGACCAUCCAGGGAGACCCUCUGGACCUCAAAAUGUUUGAGGGCACUGCCUGGAAAAUGGAAGAUUGCAACAUAGACUCCUGCAAAUUUGGGAUGUCAAAUUCAAACAUCAUAAAGCCAGGACUAAAAGCCAGUAAGAGUCCGAUAGAAGCCAUCACCACCUUGCGCCAGUUUCCAUUUUCCUCAAGCCUGCAGAGGAUGUCCGUGAUUGCUCAGCUAGCUGGGGAAGACCACUUCCACAUCUACAUGAAGGGUGCCCCAGAAAUGGUGGCCAGAUUCUGCAGAACUGAAACAGUGCCCAAGAAUUUCCCACAGGAGCUGAGGAAUUACACAGUGCAAGGCUUCCGUGUCAUUGCUUUUGCCCACAAAGCCUUGAAGAUGGGAAAUCUUUCAGAAGUGGAGCACAUAACCAGAGAAAAAGUGGAGUCAGAGUUAACAUUUCUGGGACUUCUCAUCAUGGAGAAUCGCUUGAAAAAAGAAACUAAACCAGUCUUGAAGGAACUAAGUGAGGCCUGUAUCAGGACUGUGAUGAUUACAGGUGACAACCUAGAAACGGCCAUUACCAUUGCAAAGAAUUCUGAAAUGAUCCCUCAAGGCAGCCAAGUGAUCAUUGUUGAAGCCAAUGAACCAGAAGAAUGUGUUCCUGCCUCUGUGACCUGGCAGCUGGUGGAGAAUCAAGAGAUUGGACCCGGGAAGAAAGAAACCUUCAUUAACACUGGAAACAGUUCGAUACCUGGUGGGGAAAGAGGAAGUUGCUACCAUUUUGCAAUGAGUGGGAAAUCAUUCCAAGUGAUAUUUCAGCAUUUCAGCAGCUUGCUUCCAAAAAUUCUGGUGAAUGGAACCGUUUUUGCAAGAAUGUCUCCCGGGCAGAAAUCAAGCCUUAUUGAAGAAUUUCAGAAAUUAAAUUAUUAUGUGGGCAUGUGUGGAGAUGGAGCUAAUGAUUGUGGGGCUUUGAAAGUGGCUCAUGCAGGCAUUUCAUUGUCAGAGCAGGAAGCAUCUGUGGCAUCCCCUUUUACCUCUAAAACAGCCAAUAUCGAGUGUGUGCCUCAUCUCAUCAGAGAAGGCCGAGCUGCUCUGGUUUCAUCUUUUGGGGUAUUUAAAUACUUGACCAUGUAUGGCAUAAUCCAGUUUAUCGGUACAUCACUGCUUUAUUGGCAACUGCAACUCUUUGGAAAUUACCAGUAUCUCAUGCAAGAUGUAGCCAUUACUUUGAUGGUCUGUUUGACAAUGAGUUCAACCCAUGCCUACCCAAAGCUGGCUCCGUAUAGACCAGCAGGACAGCUCCUUUCUCCCCCUUUACUGCUGUCGGUAUUUCUGAAUUCCUGUUUCUCCUGCAUUGUGCAGAUCUGUGCAUUUCUCUACGUGAAGCAGCAGCCUUGGUAUUGUGAGGUCUACCAGUACAGUGAGUGUUUUCUGGCCAACCAAAGUAAUUUUUCAACAAAUGUGAGUUUGGAAAGAAACUGGACUGGAAAUGCAACUCUGAUUCCUGGCUCAAUUUUAAGUUUUGAGAGUACCACACUGUGGCCGAUCACCACCAUCAACUGUAUCACAGUAGCAUUUAUCUUUUCUAAGGGAAAGCCAUUUCGAAAACCCAUCUAUACAAACUAUAUAUUUUCAUUUCUGCUGCUAGCUGCCUUGGGCCUCACAAUUUUCAUUCUGUUUUCUGACUUUCAAGUUAUAUACCAUGGAAUGGAGAAAUGCAAAUGAAUGUCACGUGGCAGAGACAGAAAUCAAAAGCAAGGCUUCCCCAAGCCCUAGAAGACUGGCUAAAACUGAGGCCAUGGGCUGUGGAGUAUGAACAACAAUGAAUAAUAAAAGAAGGCAUGGAUGGAUGAAGUCAACUAGAGAAGUUUAGACUUUAUGCCAAGAGCAACAGGGAGUGAAUGAAGCUAUCUGAGCAGGCUUCUCAGCAGGGCACUGAGAAAACAGAUUAAUUAGAUGAUGGCAGGAAGACUACAUGUGAGAGGAGAGAGGAGCAAUUAGAAAAUGAAAACCCGGGGGAUCGAUCCAAGAUGGCCAACCACUAACAGCUCAGGAUUGUAGCUUCCAGUGAAAGCCCAGAGAACGAGACGACGCCACACUUUUAGACGAAUUUUCGUCACUCACCGAUCAGCUGAUUCCCAGUGGAGGAGCCCCACGGGUCGCCAGCGCAACUCUUGUGGCCGCCACAGCGGUUUUGCCGGCAUCUUGGCGCAGCAGCUCUUCAUGCAGAGCCAACGGGACUGCUUCCCCUACUGACCGGAGUUUGGAGCUCCGGGAAGGCAGAGCCGCUUGUUGCGGACUCGGGAGGGAAGCCAGACCAGAGAUUCCUGGGCAGAAGAGCACCAUCAGUCUUAUUGCUGCUAUUUAGGCUGCCACAGUGGGUUGCUCGGAUCCCAGCACUGGGAAUCAAUAAGUUGGACGUUGACUCAGAAACCUAAUUAGAAAGGCGGGUCAUCUACAAUGAAGGGGAAAAAACAGCCUAAGAAGGCCGAGUAUACUCAAAAUCAGAACCCAUCAGCAAUGGAAUAAGCCCUGAUGGAAAAGGACUCAUCAGCAAUGGAGCAAGCCCUGAUGGAAAAGGACUGUGUUCCAUUAUCUGAAGUAGGCUUUAAAAGGUGGAUGAUAAGAAACUUCUGGGAGUUAAAGGAACUUGUUCUAACCCAAUGUAAAGAAACUAAGAACUUGGAAAAAAGGUUCGAUGAAAUGUUGAAAAGAAUAGACAAUAUAGAGAGGAAUACAAAUGAACUUAUGGAGUUGAAAAAUACAACACGAGAACUUAGUGAAAUAUGUACAAGCUUAAACAGCUGAAUGGAUCAAGCAGAAGAAAGGGUAUCAGAGAUCGAAGACCAACUUAAUGAAACAAAACGACAAGACAAGAAUAGAGAAAACAGGAUAAAAAGGAAUGAGCAAAGUCUCCAAGCAAUAUGGGACUAUGUGAAAAGAUCUAAUAUACUCUUGAUAGGUGUACCUGAAUGUGACGGAGAGAAUGAAUUCAAGCUGGAAAAUACUCUCCAGGACAUUAUUCAGGAAAAUUUUCCUAAUUUAGCAAAGCAGGACAUUAUUCAACCCCAGGCAAUACAGAGAACACCACAAAGAUAUUCCUCAAGAAGACCAACCCCAAGGCACAUAAUCGUUAGAUUCACCAAGAUCAAAACAAAGGAGAAAAUAUUAAGGGCAGCCAGAGAGAAAGAUCAAGUUACCCAUAAAGUUCAUCCCAACCAUAACAUCAUGGAGGGUUUUAAUUUUGGUGGUAGCCCUCACCCAAUUCUGUGUGGCUUUCUUUGUAGAGG